ACCCUUUUGUAGUUUCUAAGUGUGAUGACUGGGUGUUCAUGUGCACGUGUGAGAUGUGCCUCCCUUAAACUUUGUUACAACAUCAGCACAUUACCCAUCUGACG
ensembl:snoRNA